rnacentral:rRNA from 1 species
GUCGAACGGCAGCGGACCUUCGGGUGCCGGCGAGUGGCGAACGGGUGAGUAACGUAUCGGAACGUACCUUUCAGUGGGGGAUAACGUAGCGAAAGUUACGCUAAUACCGCAUAUUCUCUGAGGAGGAAAGCAGGGGACCUUCGGGCCUUGCGCUGAUUGAGCGGCCGAUAUCAGAUUAGCUAGUUGGUGGGGUAAAGGCCUACCAAGGCGACGAUCUGUAGCGGGUCUGAGAGGAUGAUCCGCCACACUGGAACUGAGACACGGUCCAGACUCCUACGGGAGGCAGCAGUGGGGAAUUUUGGACAAUGGGCGCAAGCCUGAUCCAGCCAUGCCGCGUGAGUGAAGAAGGCCUUCGGGUUGUAAAGCUCUUUCGGCCGGGAAGAAAUCGCAUCGGUUAAUACCCGAUGUGGAUGACGGUACCGGAAUAAGAAGCACCGGCUAACUACGUGCCAGCAGCCGCGGUAAUACGUAGGGUGCGAGCGUUAAUCGGAAUUACUGGGCGUAAAGCGUGCGCAGGCGGUUUUGUAAGACAGGCGUGAAAUCCCCGGGCUCAACCUGGGAACUGCGCUUGUGACUGCAAGGCUAGAGUAUGGCAGAGGGGGGUGGAAUUCCACGUGUAGCAGUGAAAUGCGUAGAGAUGUGGAGGAACACCGAUGGCGAAGGCAGCCCCCUGGGCCAAUACUGACGCUCAUGCACGAAAGCGUGGGUAGCAAACAGGAUUAGAUACCCCUGGUAGUCCACG